UCUAGAUCGAUAGUGCUCGUCAAGGAAAAUCUAUUGAGCCCAAACACGAUGGAGUUAUGAUGAGUAGAUUAGGAUAGAUUAGGAUUUCUGGUGACCAACUCCUGACUCCAUCAUGAGAACCUGGACUUCAUCUAGAUCAAUGGUGCUCGUCGGGGCAAAUCUAUUGAGCCCAAACACGAUGGAGUUAUGAUGAGUAGAUUAGAACAUCUGGUGACCAUCUCAUGAUGGAGUCAGGAGCUGGUCACCAGAAGGGUCUCAUGACCCUGGACCUCAUUUAGAUAGAUGGUGCUCGUCGAGGCAAAUCGAUUGAGCCCAAACACGAUGGAGUGAUAAUGAGUAGAUUAGGAGUUCUGGUGACCAACUCCUGACUCCAUCAUGAGAACCUGGACUUCAUCUAGAUCGAUGGUGCUCGUCGGGGCAAAUCUAUUGAGCCCAAACACGAUGGAGUUAUUAUGAGUAGAUUAGAACAUCUGGUGACCAUUACUGACUCCAUCAUGAGAACCUGGACUUCAUCUAGAUCGAUGGUGCUCGUCGGGGCAAAUCUAUUGAGCCCAAACACGAUGGAGUUAUUAUGAGUAGAUUAGAACAUCUGGUGACCAUCUCAUGAUGGAGUCAGGAGUUGGUCACCAGAAGGGUCUCAUGACCCUGGACCUCAUCUAGAUAGAUGGUGCUCGUCGAGGCAAAUCGAUUGAGCCCAAACACGAUGGACUUAUGAUGAGUAAAUUAGGACUUCUGGUGACCAUCUCAUGAUGGAGUCAGAAGUUGGUCACCAGAAGGGUCUCAUGACCCUGGACCUUAUCUAGAUAGAUGGUGCUCGUCAGGGCAAAUCAUUUGAACCCAAACACGAUGGAGUGUUAAUGAGUAGAUUAGGAGUUCUGGUGACCAACUCCUGACUCCAUCAUGAGAACCUGGACCUCAUCUAGAUCGAUGGUGUUCGUCAAGGAAAAUCUAUUGAGCCCAAACACGAUGGAGUUAUGAUGAGUAGAUUAGGAGUUCGGUGACCAUUCCUGACUCCAUCAUGAGAACCUGGACAUCAUCCAGGUCGUCCGGGUAUAAUAAAAAUGCAAACCCUAACCAGAAUUCAAGUAACACUGAAAAUCUAUCACAUAAGCGAGAGUCGGUUGUUAAAAUUAAAUAUGGUGUAAAAAAUGUACACCCUUGGAUCAAGAUUUUCUAAUCAUAGUAUACAGCACUUCUCGGAACUCUCUCGAUGGUUACGAAAGCAACGAACGCCUGACGGUCGAGCACAGGUCCGUCCCCUAAGCGCACUCGGCGGAGACUGAGCGCGCGGUGUCGGUGCAGCGUGAUUUAUACGUCUUUAAAAAAAUAUAGAUUUACGGCUAGGUAGGUCCUAUAGUUAUGAUUUUUUUUUAUGAGUAGACAUAAAGUUACAAUUUGAUAAAAUAUUAUUUUUGGGGCAAAAUAUAAGUCCAAUUUGCGAUAAAAAAAUGUAAUGUAACCCUGUUUUCACCAAAAAAAUGAAGAAAACUCGGAAGGUUUUUUAUCAAUAUUUUAAAAUGAAUCUUCGAUUUUCAAGCAUGUCAGCCCCUCGUACAAGAUAUGGUGAGUUGAAUUGUAAUCAUUCAUGUACCAAAUGAUUCUUGUUUACUGCAAAAUUGAGAACCGAAACGACCCUUCUCACUGCAAAAUUUGAAAAAGACUCCUAAGAAAACUCAUU